rnacentral:lncRNA from 1 species
CCUUGGGUUGCCGGCGACUUCCUGCAGUGACUUCCUCUAGUUAACUGUCCUCGUCUCCUGCACCGUCAUAGGUUGAUCUCUUCAUUUCCCUACCAAUUUUUGGUUUCUCCCCUUUCUUUUGGUUUUGUUAGUUUUCCUGAUUUGUCUCUCUCUUCUUCUUCCCUUUACCCUUUAAUGAGAGUUGGUCUUUUGAGUCCCCCCUUCUUUGGGGGGAAAUUCUGUCGGUUCUGGUGUCAGGC